CUUCUUCCAAGCUCCUCUGUGUCACUGUCUCCUUUUCCAGACCCUCACUGUGUGUCAUUGACCUCUUCCCUAGCCCCUCUGUGUGUCCCUGCCCCCACCCACAGCUACUUUGUGUUAUUGUCCUCUACUUCAGCCCCUCUGUGUGUUUCUAUCCCCUUCCCAGCCCCUCAGUGUGUCAUUAGACCUUUCCCCAGCCCCUCUCUUUGUCAUUGUCUUCUUCUCCAUUCCCUGUGUUUCUGAUCCCCACCCCUAGGCUGCUAAAUACAUACACACAGACUGCUG